UUUCAGCGGAUGCUUCCCCUGAUCUGGGCUCUACCACCAUCCACUGCCGUCUUACCACCCACCAUGGCCCUCCUGCACUCCGGUCGCGUCCUCUUCGGGAUGGCUGCUGCCUUUCACCCAGGUCUUGCAGCUGCAACCUCUGCCAGAGCCAGCUCCUGGUGGACCCAUGUUGAAAUGGAACCUCCAGAUCCCAUCCUGGGAGUGACCGAAGCCUUCAAGAGAGAUACCAACAGCAAGAAGAUGAACCUGAGAGUUGGUGCCUACAGGGAUGAUAACGGAAAGCCUUACAUGCUCCCCAAUGUCCGGAAGGCAGAGGUCCAGAUUGCUGGAAACAAUUUGGACAAAGAAUACCUACCCAUCGGGGGACUGGCUGAAUUUUGUAAGGCUUCUGCAGACCUGGCCCUGGGUGAGAACAACGAAGUGUUGAAAAGCUGCGGGUUUGUUACUGUGCAGACCGUUUCCGGGACUGGAGCCUUAAGGGUCAGAGCCAGUUUUCUGCAAAGAUUUUUUAAGUUCAGCCGAGAUGUCUUUCUGCCCAAACCAUCCUGGGGAACUACACACCCAUCUUCAGGGAUGCCGGCAUGCAGACUUCUCCGGAGCCUUACAAGACACAUCAAAAAUCCCAGAGCAGAGUGUUCUCCUUCUACACACUUGCGCUCAAAACCCCAUGGGCGUGGACCUGCGACCAGAACAGUGGAAGGAAAUGGCGUCAGUGGUGAAGAAAAAGAAUCUCUUCGCAUUCUUUAACAUGGCCUGCCAAGGCUUUGCCAGCGGUGAUGGCGAUUAGGACGCCUGAGCCGUGUGGCACUUCAUCGAGCAGGGCAUCAAUGUCUGCCUCUGCCAAUCGUAUGCCAAGAACAUGGGCCUGUACGGUGAGCGUGUGGGAGCCUUCACGGUGGUCUGCAAAGAUGUAGAAGAAGCCAAAAGGGUGGAGUCACAGCUGAAGAUCCUUAUCUGCCCUUUGUAUUCCAACCCGCCUCUCAAUGGAGCGAGGAUCGCUGCAACCAUCCUGACUUCUCCAGACUUGCAAAGGCAAUGGUUACAAGACGUGAAAGGCGUGGCUGACCGAAUCAUCAGCAUAAGUACCCAGAUGGUCUCCAACCUGAAGAAAGAGGGCUCGUCCCACAACUGGCAGCACAUCAUCGACCAGAUUGGCAUGUUCUGCUUCACCGACCUAAAGCCGCAGGUGAAGCGCCAAGGAGUUCUCAGUCUACAUGACAAAGGAUGGCCGAAUCUCCGUGGCAGCGGUCACCUCUGGCAAUGUGGGCUACCUCACCCAAGCCAUUCACCAGGUCACCAAGUAA